rnacentral:sRNA from 1 species
GCUGGGUGUGGUGGCCCACACCUAUAAUUCCAGCAACUUGGGAGGCUAAGGCAGGAGGAUUCCAAGUUUGAAACCAGUCUGGCCGAUUUAGGCAAGACCCUGUCUUGA